CACUAAGCGGAUGUGCAACGACUAGUUACCGGUAAAAUUUGUAUCACGUAAUUUAAAAACUCGCUGAAAUGAUUACUAUUUACAGUAAAAAAAAAACGAAUUACAAUUACCCGACAAUUCACGGCGUGCGUGUUGGAUAAUGUGAAAAGAAAUAUUCUGAAAGCCCAAUAAAUGAAAUGCAAAAAAUUUUAUUUCAAGUUGAAAUAUUUUCUUGAAUUGUAAAAAAUAAAUGAAAAUUCAAAAUUUGUUGAAGUGAAUGUGUAUAUAUGAAUAUAUAUUAUAUAUAAAUUGAGUUAAUUUAGUGAAGGCUAAAAUUGAUAUAGUGGAUUAAGAAAAAUUAAAUGCUUAAAUAUUUUAAAAAUCAAAUUCAAUUUAUUAAAAAUGAAAAAGUGUGUGCUAGUUCAACUCUAACUUAGCAACUGCUUUUAAUUUUCUGCGGCAGUGAAGGCGUAACAGUUUUUAGACCGCUUGACGACUGUAGUGUCUUUCAAAGAGAAAUGAUAGCUAUUAAGGUAGUGCGGCUAUUUUUAAGGAUGUGAGCAAACACUUCGAUGGCAGAGCUGUUAUACAGGCAAAUAAAAGAGUUUUCUCUUCACGCACUUGCUAUACGCUAUAGUGAUCAGAAAAUUUAGCUGUUUGGCAGCGGAUCUAUUCAAGAUGAACGAUUAUUUCGGAGACGCUAACCACUAACUCACAAGCGGAAAAUUGUUAGAGAAGUAACCCAAUAGGUGAAAUGACCCAAAAAAAUACACACGGAGUGGCAAAUAAAGUGUGAAAAUUUAAGAAACAGGACGGAAGGCUAAAGCACGGAUAAAUUUCCAGCUGAAAAAAGGCUCGCCUUAGAUUUGCAAUAAGUACGAUUUAUCGGCUAUAAAAGCAAAACGGAAGCGAACAUUGAACUCGCAUGUCCCUUACAUAGAAUAUGUAACAGCCAAACCAAACUUCUAGAGGAAGCAAAAAGAUCCAGUGUAUAACAGCACUGAAUAAUGCAAAUAAAUUUCAGCGGAUUGUGACUACAUCGUGUUUUAAUGUAAUCCAAGGUCAACCACGUGAAUUUUUGAAGUCAUUCAUCCGUUCCAGCUAACUGAUUAUGAAAUGUAUAUGUAAAACGGCUGCACUUCUGCUUUGUGUCAUCCCUAUGACUGAUUUUAUUCGUAAUAUUGAAUACACUUGAAGACAUAACUACAUUGCCUGUCUAAAUCGUGGCUCACAAAACAUACUGCAUCAUAUCGUAGACAUUGGUGUAUUAUAUAAUACGAAUUUUUAAUCAGUAUAUGUAUGUAACAAAUAAUAAAGGAAUGACAAAGCCUUGCAGCCAUGUUACAGUGAAAUUGAUUGUGAUAGUUAUAUGCUAGUUCAACUUGUGGAGCUUGGAAUGACUUAAAAUUUAUAUUCAAUAAAAUAAAAUUGAAAAACUCAAAGUUUGUGUUGUUUAAUAUUUGUUGUAAGUUCAAACGUUUACUCAAAAUAGGAAGGUCUAUGAACAACGUGAGAUGUGGAUGGUUGUUGUGUAAGCGCUUGCAAUAUUUUGGCUACCAGUAAAUAUGAAUAACCUUUCACAAGCAACAAAGUGUAAAAGGAAUAACACAGCCAAGUGACCCGAAGAAAUACACACAAAGUGGCAAAUAAAUUGUGGAAAAUUGAAAAAAAAGGACGUACAGCUAAAUCCCAGAAAAAAUUUGAAUGGAAAAAGAGUCGACACACAUUUGCAAAAAGUAUCAAUUAUCGGUUAUAGAAGCAAAAUGGAAUUGAAAUUUAAUUCGCAAGUACCAUACGCCUACAUAGAAUAUGUAACACCCAAACCAAACUUCUGCCAGAGGUACAAGGACCCAAUCACAGUCAUGUCUAUAGUUUAUUUGGACUCUUGUAGCAUCGUUUAUACCAGCCCUGAACAAUGCCAAUCAAUGUAACAGAUUGGCGCAACAUCGCAUUGCAACCCUCAACCACGUGAAUUGUUGAAUUCAUAGGUUCUUUCCAGCUAAAUGAGGUGUGAUCACUACGACUGAUUGGAUUUCUGAUACUGAUACGAUUGAUAAAAUUUGAAUACAUACACUUGAAGGCAUAACUACGUUGGUAGUCUUAAUCUUGGCUGACAAAACAUACAGAAUCAUAUCGAAGACAUUCGUGUAUUAUGUAAUACAUAUUCUUAAUGAGUAUAUUUAUGCAAAAAAUAAUAAGCGAAUCACCUUGCAGCCAGGUUACAGCGAAAUAGAUUGAGACAUUUAUAUGCUAAUUUAAAUUUCGCUUUCUGGGAGUGACUUAAAAUCUAUACUUAUUAAAAUAAAAUUGAAAAUCCGAA